rnacentral:rRNA from 1 species
CACAAGCUUUCCGUAGGUGAACCUCGGAGGGAUCAUUACACAACAAAAUAUGAAGGCCUGGCUUCGCGGCCGGCUGAAAUAUUUUUUUCACCCAUGUCUUUUGCGCACUUGUUGUUUCCUGGGCGGGUUCGCCCGCCACCAGGACCAAACCAUAAACCUUUUUUUAUGCAGUUGCAAUCAGCGUCAGUAAAAACAAUGUAAUUAUUACAACUUUCAACAACGGAUCUCUUGGUUCUGGCAUCGAUGAAGAACGCAGCGAAAUGCGAUACGUAGUGUGAAUUGCAGAAUUCAGUGAAUCAUCGAAUCUUUGAACGCACAUUGCGCCCUUUGGUAUUCCAAAGGGCAUGCCUGUUCGAGCGUCAUUUGUACCUUCAAGCUUUGCUUGGUGUUGGGCGUUUUUUGUCUCCCUCUUUCUGGGAGACUCGCCUUAAAACGAUUGGCAGCCGGCCUACUGGUUUCGGAGCGCAGCACAUAUUUUGCGCUUUGUAUCAGGAGAAAAGGACGGUAAUCCAUCAAGACUCUACAUUUUUAACUUUUGACCUCGGAUCAGGUAGGGAUACCCGCUGAACUUAAGCAUAUCAAUAAGCGGAGGAGGAUCCGUG